UCACCGUUGCCGGGGCAGUCCAUCCAGAAAAAUCCAACUGAAUAUAAGGGUUGCGCUCGUUAAUGGACUUAACCAAACAUCUCACGACACGAGCUGACGACGGCCAUGCAACACCUGUCUUCGGGCUCCCGAAGGCACACUCUCCUUUCGGAGAAUUUCCCGAGAUGUCAAACCCUGGUAAGGUUCUUCGCUUAUCCUCGAAUUAAAGAACACGCUCCACCGCUUGUGCGGGUCCCCGUCAAUUCCUUUAUGUUUUAGUCUUGCGACCGUACUCCACAGGCGGGAUGCUUAACGCGUUAGCUUCGCUACUAACCGGGUCGAUACGGUUAACAGCUAGCAUCCAUAGUUUACGGCGUGGACUAC
rnacentral:misc_RNA from 1 species